CCUACGGGUGGCAGCAGUGAGGAAUAUUGGUCAAUGGGCGCGAGCCUGAACCAGCCAAGUAGCGUGAAGGAUGACUGCCCUACGGGUUGUAAACUUCUUUUAUAAAGGCAUAAAGUGAGGCACGUGUGCCUUUUUGUCUGUACUUUAUGAAUAAGGAUCGGCUAACUCCGUGCCAGCAGCCGCGGUAAUACGGAGGAUCCGAGCGUUAUCCGGAUUUAUUGGGUUUAAUGUGAGAGUAGAUGGGUUGUUAAGUCAGUUGUGAAAGUGUGCGGCUCAACCGUAAAAUUGCAAUUGAUACUGGCAGCCUUGAGUACAGUUGAGGUAGGCGGAAUGCGUGGGGUAGCGGUGAAAUGCUUAGAUAUCACGAAGAACUCCGAUUGCGAAGGCAGCCUACUAAACUGCCACUGACAUUGAUGCUCGAAAGUGUGGGUAUCAAACAGGAGUAGAUACCCCGGUAGUC
rnacentral:rRNA from 1 species